GCGUGCUCGCUCGCGCCAGGCGAGUCUCCGCGUCUCCCUCGCGAACUCGGUGAAAGGAAUUGGCGCCGUUCGACACCAGGCGGGUCCGCUCUGCAGCACGAACCCACCUCCAGCCGCAGCCGCAGCCGCCGCCCGGGCCGAGGAGCAGCCGCAGCAGCCGCCACCAGUGGCCGAGUGAGCGGAGCCGAGUUUGAGCCAGCGCCUAGCGGUGAAUCGGGGCCCUCACCAUGAGUUCCUCGCCUGUUAAUGUAAAAAAGCUGAAGGUCUCGGAGCUGAAAGAGGAGCUCAAGAAGCGGCGCCUUUCCGACAAGGGCCUCAAGGCCGAGCUCAUGGAGCGACUCCAGGCCGCGCUGGACGACGAGGAGGCCGGGGGCCGCCCCGCCAUGGAGCCCGGGAACGGCAGCCUAGACCUGGGCGGGGAUUCCGCCGGGCGCUCGGGAGCAGGCCUCGAGCAGGAGGCCGCGGCCGGCGGCGACGAGGAAGAGGAAGAGGAGGAAGAGGAGGAGGAAGGGAUCGCCGCCCUGGAUGGCGACCAGAUGGAGCUAGGGGAGGAGAACGGGGCCGCGGGGGCGGCCGACGCGGGCCCGAUGGAGGAGGAGGAGGCCGCCUCGGAAGACGAGAACGGCGACGAUCAGGGCUUCCAGGAAGGGGAGGAUGAGCUCGGUGACGAGGAGGAAGGCGCGGGCGACGAGAACGGGCACGGGGAGCAGCAGCCUCAACCGCCGGCGACGCCGCAGCAACAGCCCCCACAGCAGCGCGGGGCCGCCAAGGAGGCCGCGGGGAAGAGCAGCGGCCCCACCUCGCUGUUCGCGGUGACGGUGGCGCCGCCCGGGGCGAGGCAGGGCCAGCAGCAGGCGGGAGGUAAGAAGAAGGCGGAAGGCGGCGGAGGCGGCGGUCGCCCCGGGGCUCCGGCGGCGGGAGACGGCAAAACAGAGCAGAAAGGCGGAGAUAAAAAGAGAGGGGUGAAAAGACCUCGAGAAGAUCAUGGCCGUGGAUAUUUUGAGUACAUUGAAGAGAACAAGUAUAGCAGAGCCAAAUCUCCUCAGCCACCUGUUGAAGAAGAAGAUGAGCACUUCGAUGACACAGUGGUUUGUCUUGAUACUUAUAAUUGUGAUCUACAUUUUAAAAUAUCAAGAGACCGCCUCAGUGCUUCUUCCCUCACUAUGGAGAGUUUUGCUUUUCUUUGGGCUGGAGGAAGGGCAUCUUAUGGUGUGUCAAAAGGCAAAGUCUGUUUUGAGAUGAAGGUUACAGAGAAGAUCCCAGUAAGGCAUUUAUAUACAAAAGACAUUGACAUACAUGAAGUUCGGAUUGGCUGGUCACUAACCACAAGUGGAAUGUUGCUUGGUGAAGAAGAAUUUUCUUAUGGGUAUUCUCUUAAAGGAAUAAAAACAUGCAACUGUGAGACUGAAGAUUAUGGAGAGAAAUUUGAUGAAAAUGAUGUGAUUACAUGUUUUGCAAACUUUGAAAGUGAUGAAGUAGAACUCUCCUAUGCAAAGAAUGGGCAAGAUCUUGGCAUUGCCUUCAAAAUCAGUAAGGAAAUUCUUGCUGGAAGGCCACUCUUUCCGCAUGUUCUCUGCCACAACUGUGCAGUUGAAUUUAAUUUUGGUCAGAAGGAAAAGCCAUAUUUUCCGAUACCGGAAGAUUAUACUUUUAUCCAGAAUGUCCCCUUAGAGGAUCGAGUUAGAGGACCAAAGGGGCCUGAAGAGAAGAAAGAUUGUGAGGUUGUUAUGAUGAUUGGUUUGCCAGGAGCUGGGAAAACCACCUGGGUUACUAAACACGCAGCAGAGAAUCCUGGUAAAUACAACAUUCUUGGAACAAACACCAUAAUGGAUAAAAUGAUGGUGGCAGGGUUUAAGAAGCAGAUGGCUGAUACUGGAAAACUGAACACGCUGUUGCAGAGAGCUCCCCAGUGUCUUGGAAAGUUUAUUGAGAUUGCUGCCCGUAAGAAGCGAAAUUUCAUUCUGGAUCAGACAAACGUGUCUGCUGCUGCCCAGAGGAGAAAAAUGUGCCUGUUUGCAGGCUUCCAACGAAAAGCUGUUGUAGUUUGCCCGAAAGAUGAAGACUACAAGCAAAGAACACAAAAGAAAGCAGAAGUUGAGGGAAAAGACCUACCAGAACACGCAGUCCUCAAAAUGAAAGGAAACUUCACGCUGCCCGAGGUAGCUGAGUGCUUUGAUGAAAUAACCUAUGUUGAACUGCAGAAGGAGGAAGCCCAAAAACUUCUGGAGCAAUAUAAGGAAGAAAGCAAAAAGGCGCUUCCGCCAGAAAAGAAACAGAAUACUGGCUCGAAGAAGAGCAAUAAAAAUAAGAGUGGCAAGAAUCAGUUCAACAGAGGCGGCGGCCACAGAGGCCGUGGCGGCUUCAACAUGCGCGGUGGCAACUUCCGAGGAGGAGCUCCUGGGAACCGCGGCGGCUAUAACCGGAGGGGCAACAUGCCCCAGAGAGGUGGCGGCGGCGGGGGCAGCGGCGGCAUUGGCUACCCGUACCCUCGCGGCCCUGUGUUCCCCAGCCGAGGCGGCUACUCCAACAGAGGCAACUACAGCAGAGGUGGGAUGCCCAACAGAGGGAACUACAACCAGAACUUCAGAGGACGAGGAAACAAUCGCGGCUACAAAAAUCAAUCUCAGGGCUACAACCAGUGGCAGCAGGGUUCUGUCCAUGUGAAUGUGCUGUGUGGAAGAGUAAAAGGGCCCAACUAAAUGUGUUCCAGUGAUUCCAAUAGGUAUUCCAAAUUAAUUGCUGCUUGUACAUUUAACACUUGUUAUAUUGGGCUUCCAGGAUCACCUUAAUUAGAACUCCCUUAUUUAAAAGGAUGGGAAAAGGCAAUAACUGGUAACCCAGAUUGGGUAGAUUGUAUAAACAGGAAAAAAAAGGUUUUCUAACUUUCCUUUGCAUACCUGAAAUGUGAAGUAGUUGGUGGUGUAAUGUUAAGCAGUUGGCGGUCCUCUUGCCUAGGUUUAAGAUUGUAUGCAAAAGGAGCCGAAUCCUUGUAAGGUUCUAAUGGUUCAAAUUCCUUGUUUUAACUUUUUGUGAGACACUCAUUUUAAUACUUCCCACUUGCAGAGCUUAAAUACUUUAAGUAUUUUAAUGCAGAAAAACGAGUCUAGGAUACCUGUGUCCUUGUUUUUCCCAGCCUUCUGCGUCUGUGCGAAACGCACAAAUACUUACUAGCUUAUAAACACUUGGAAACUAGAUUGAAAGCCUUUUGGAGAAUAAGGAGAUAGGACUCCAUUACCAAAAAGGAAAAAUCAACUAUAGGAAGUAAAUUUAAACUGUAAAGACAGAGGGAAUAAAAGGCUCAGUGUGACCUCUGAUUGUGCCUCCAGAGCAUGUAAUUUCUUAUUGCCCUGAAAUCAUUUAAAGACUUGGUAAGAAGCUUAGAGGAAAUCUGCUAUUCUUCCCACCACAUACUCCAGAAUAAUGUAUCUUGGUGAAAUGAGAGGACCUGGGUGCUAUACUGAUUUGAAAUGUAGCUGUCAGGAUUUGAAUACAGUUCUGUGUCAACUAAAAAUCUAAUGGCUUCUGAAAGAGCAGACAGCUUGGUUUCAGACCAAAGGUAAAAAUCGUAACUAUUUUGUUCAUUUGAGGGAAAAAAAAGUUAAAACUAGAAGAACAUCGUUUCAAAAGUAAACUUUGAAUUCAGAUGGCAAAGCAUAGGUUUCAUUUCCUAUGACUUGUCCUCACAGUCUAAAGGGAAGAAACAUUUCUAUGGAAGCCGAUCCAUUAAGAAACCAGUGUUUGCAGAUUACUUUGAUUUACUAAGGACAGGCCAUCUAAGGUGGUUUAAUAGAUUUUAUUUGUUAACUUGAUCUCAACUUUUAAAAAGGGAACAGUAGAAGCCUGUUUAAAUUCGUACCUGUUUAUAAUGUCUCUGGUAGUUUUGUCAAGAUAGAAAUACUUGGGGCAAUCAUCUGUAUUCUAGAAAACUGAAGAGUAAGGCAAAUGUAGUUGAAAAUUAUUACUUGCAACACAAUCUGUAGUGCUCAUGUUACAAGCUUCAGAAUGUAAUACUUUAAGACCUUUGUAGUAAGUUUUUGUCCCUAAAGCUUCCUAUUUUAAGAGAAAAAGAUGGAGCUUACUGCAUAAAAUGAGCUGUGUAAGAUGCCAGUAUUUGGGUGGUAGAGGAUAUUGGUAUAUUGUCCUGAAUGAAUGACCACUGGACCCUAUUAAGAUGCUUCCAAAAAAUAUUCUAGAGGACUAUUAAAAAUCAGAAUUCUAGCAAUCGCUUUAACUUUUCUACUUAAGAUUUUGUUUACCCAAGUAAAGUACAUAUAUAUAUAUUAACAUGAAUUUUAAAGGGGUGCCUUGACCCCCAUCCACUACAGAUUUUUAUCUAGGAAUAGAAGGAUUCAAACCCUAUUUGAUCCCUAGCUCUUUGCUGAAAAGUGCAUAAACAGGAAUCCUGAAUUUAUUAUAUAGACCUCCUCGCAUUAUAUAAUCGAAGCAAAGGGAAACCAGCGAUGGAGUAGAGGUACGUAGACUAAAAAGAUGCUUGCGAAUCAAAUGAUGGUAUCAGGAAUAGUUAAAGUUUUUUGUUGCCAAACUCGGUCAUUAUAAAUCACAAGUCCAGAGAAAAGCUUUAGUUAAUUUUAAAUUCCCUGAGGUCCUUUUACUGUGAUGGAAAAGCCAAGUAGUCAAGGAAAAAAAGGGAGGGGUGAGGGAAAGGGGAAAUGCAUAGAGUACUAGAAGGAUUUAACAAAGUAUGAUAGAUAAAGCCACAAGAAGUUUUUAAAACUACUAAUGACCACAAUUCUAUUUUAAUCAGCUAUUUAGCUGGUAUCUACUGCUAUAUCACCUAGUGUGAAGUUUUGGAAUUAAUGGAACAAUGAAAGAAGCAGUGCAGCUGGAGGCUCCCAAGUGGGCACGGAAGGUCUCCAAUUUAUGCAGUCAUUCUGCUGUGAAAAUGAACUAACCUUGUUAUUGGUGAAGGCCUUGGAAAUUUUUGCCAGCCGAGAGAGUUUUCUCUUACUCAGGGUAAGAUGUAAUCAUAGUAUGGGAGAGCUAGGCGGGAAUUCAAUUAACUUAAUCCAAUGGCCCAAUUUCAUACUUUGCAUCCAUUUGUAAACUGAAGCUGAGAACCUGAAUGGCCUGCACAGACAGCUUGUUAAAGAUCAGGUUUGAGGAGUACUCCUCAGGUUUCCCCCUACUCUUGCAGAUACGGCAUUGCCUUUUAAAAUACAAAUGACUGGUCAAUUUGAGUAACAUAGACUGGAUUCAACUCUGACUUGUGUCAGAGUGUACACAUGGUAUAUGGUCUUGGAAACUGCCUUUUCCUUUCUAACAACCUUUCCUGAUUAUUGUCCAAGUCCUACCUUUGGUGGCUACUAGAUGAUGAGGAUCCAUAGAAAUGUCUUGGGGCAUGUGCUUGACAGCGACAGCCUGUGCGCCGUGCCCCUUGUAAGGACAGCCACAGGAAAGGCGGGCCUGGGAGGGAAAACGGGACUGAGCAUGCACUCCCCACUUACCCCUUGAAAAGUCAUAAGAGAACACAAUAAAACUUCAGGACAGCUUCACCUUCUCUGGCUGACCAUGAUGAUCAAGUAAUAGGAGCAUUAAUAAUGCCAGAAUCCUGUCUGGUGGUCUUUUUUCAUUAUCAUUUCAAAAUCAGGAACACCUCUCGCUUGUGUUUUGUGGUAUAUUUUUUUCUUAGGAAGUAAUGUUGACAUUAAAACAAAAAAAAAAUUCAUUGCUUUGGAAAGGGAGAGUGUUUUUCCUGAAUGAAUAAAUGCUAUGGGCUUGGUUGGGUGCCUUGUUUUUUUGCCUCUUUUAAUGGCAGCGAAUUGAAUUAUAAAUGACUGACUUAUGUUA